UAUAUAAAGUCUGACCUGCCCACUGAAAAUUUUAAAUGGCUGCAGUAAUUUGACUGUACAAAGGUAGCAUAAUCAUUAGUUUUUUAAUUAAAAGCUUGUAUGAAAGGUUGGACGAAGUAAAAUCUGUCUCUUUUUAAUAUAAUUAGAAUUUAAUUUUUAAGUAAAAAAGCUUAAAUUUUUAUAAAAGACGAGAAGACCCUAUAGAGUUUAAUAAUUUUAAUAAAAUAUUUAAUUAAGAUUUAUUAAUUUUAUUUAAUUAAAAUUAUUUUAUUGGGGUAAUAAAAAGAUUAAAAAAAUUCUUUUUUUUUAAUACAUUAAUUUAUGAAUAUAUGAUCCAUUUAUAGUGAUUAAAAGAUUAAAUUACCUUAGGGAUAACAGCGUAAUUUUUUUAAAGAGUUCUUAUCGAUAAAAAAGUUUGCGACCUCGAUGUUGGAUUAAAGAUUAAUUUAGGUGUAGAAGUUUAAAUUUUUGGUCUGUUCGACCAUUAAAUCUUUACAUGAUCUGAGUUCAAACCGGUGUAAGCCAGGUUGGUUUCUAUCUUUAUUAAUUUUUUAUAUUUUAGUACGAAAGGACCAAAUAUAAAAUAUAUAAAUAUUUUUAUUUUGAAUAUUAUU
rnacentral:rRNA from 1 species